CCUACGGGCGGCAGCAGUGAGGAAUAUUGGUCAAUGGGCGAGAGCCUGAACCAGCCAAGUCGCGUGAGGGAGUACUGCCCUAUGGGUUGUAAACCUCUUUUGUCGGGGAGCAAAAGCCGGACGUGUCCGGCUGUGAGAGUACCCGAAGAAAAAGCAUCGGCUAACUCCGUGCCAGCAGCCGCGGUAAUACGGAGGAUGCGAGCGUUAUCCGGAUUUAUUGGGUUUAAAGGGUGCGCAGGCGGAUUUUUAAGUCAGCGGUCAAAUCGUGGGGCUCAACCCCAUCCAGCCGUUGAUACUGCCUUGCUGGAAUGCGGAUGCCGUGGGAGGAAUGUGUGGUGUAGCGGUGAAAUGCAUAGAUAUCACACAGAACACCGAUUGCGAAGGCAUCUCACGAAUCCGCGAUUGACGCUGAUGCACGAAAGCGUGGGUAUCAAACAGGAUUAGAUACCCCUGUAGUC
rnacentral:rRNA from 1 species